UCCAACAAUUGAUGAACCCAGUGAACAUUGCAUUUUGUACUCCCUUUGGCUGUUUGUCUUUCAGGUUACUGGAGUAGGGUAUAACAGGUUUGGAGAAGUGAUACUUGAUGGUGAUGUUAUCCAUGGUUAUAACAACCCAUCCAUUAGCAAAAUCGUUGAGGCUGGUUGUGUGUGCAAUGAUGCUCUGAUUA